rnacentral:rRNA from 1 species
GGAAUAUUGGACAAUGGGGGGAACCCUGAUCCAGCGACGCCGCGUGAGUGAAGAAGUAUCUCGGUAUGUAAAGCUCUAUCAGCAGGGAAGAAAGAAAUGACGGUACCUGACUAAGAAGCCUCGGCUAACUACGUGCCAGCAGCCGCGGUAAUACGUAGGGGGCAAGCGUUAUCCGGAUUUAGUGGGUGUAAAGGGAGCGUAGACGGCAGCACAAGUCUGGAGUGAAAUCCCGGGGCUUAACCCCGGAACUGCUUUGGAAACUGUGCGGCUGGAGUGCAGGAGGGGUAAGCGGAAUUCCUAGUGUAGCGGUGAAAUGCGUAGAUAUUAGGAGGAACACCGGUGGCGAAGGCGGCUUACUGGACUGUAACUGACGUUGAGGCUCGAAAGCGUGGGGAGCAAA